GCAUCGGUGGUUGAGUGGUAGAAUUCUCGACUGCCACGCGGGAGGCCCGGGUUCGAUUCCCGGCCGAUGCA
rnacentral:tRNA from 1 species